GAUGAACGCUGGCGGCGUGCCUAAUACAUGCAAGUCGAGCGAACAGACGAGGAGCUUGCUCCUCUGACGUUAGCGGCGGACGGGUGAGUAACACGUGGAUAACCUACCUAUAAGACUGGGAUAACUUCGGGAAACCGGAGCUAAUACCGGAUAAUAUAUUGAACCGCAUGGUUCAAUAGUGAAAGACGGUUUUGCUGUCACUUAUAGAUGGAUCCGCGCCGCAUUAGCUAGUUGGUAAGGUAACGGCUUACCAAGGCAACGAUGCGUAGCCGACCUGAGAGGGUGAUCGGCCACACUGGAACUGAGACACGGUCCAGACUCCUACGGGAGGCAGCAGUAGGGAAUCUUCCGCAAUGGGCGAAAGCCUGACGGAGCAACGCCGCGUGAGUGAUGAAGGUCUUCGGAUCGUAAAACUCUGUUAUUAGGGAAGAACAAAUGUGUAAGUAACUAUGCACGUCUUGACGGUACCUAACCAGAAAGCCACGGCUAACUACG
rnacentral:rRNA from 1 species